GACGUAGGAAGCGAGCGUUGUCCGGAAUUACUGGGUGUAAAGGGCGUGUAGGCGGGGCGGCGCAUCCGGGAGUAAAUCCCACGGCUUAACCGUGGAACCAUCUCGGAGAUGGCCGCUCUUGAGGACAGGAGAGGAAAGUGGAAUUUCCGGUGGAGCGGUGAAAUGCGUAGAGAUCGGAAAGAACACCAACGGCGAAAGCACUCUGCUGGGCCGACACUGACACUGAGAGACGAAAAGCUAGGGGGAGCGAAUGGG
rnacentral:rRNA from 1 species